rnacentral:lncRNA from 1 species
CAAAUAACUGACAUAUUUAACUAGGGCUCAAGGGUAUAGGACAGUUUAGUAGAUAUAUCAGGAUAUUAAAUUUUUUCUACCCUCAUGUAAGAAGCAUUUAGGCAUGCUAGACGUGACCUGUCUGCUUUUUGCUUCUCAUAUCUAAGUGAUUUGUCUGUCAGCCUCAUUAAAUGAAGGACAACUUAUUUUAUUUUAUUUUAUUUUUGAGGAAGAUUAGCCCUGAGCUAACUACUGCCAACCCUCCUCUUUUUUUUUUUUUUCCUGAGGAAGGCUGGCCCUGAGCUAACAUCCAUGCCCAUCUUCCUCUACUUUAUAUGUGGGACGCCUACCACAGCAUGGCGUGCCAAGCGGUGCCAUGUCUGCACCUGGGAUCUGAACCAGCGAACCCCGCGCCACCGAGAAGCAGAACAUGUGAACUUAACCACUGCACCACUGGGCAGGCCCCAAGAAGGGCAAUUUAAACACUGAAGCUCGAAAAGACAAAUUUGAUGUAAGGAGAGAAACCACUCAGAAUCCACAAAGACAUGAAGGCUGAAGUACACAAACCUAAGGAGACAAACAUGGUCAGGGCACUGGGGAAGAAUCUAAGCACCUGACCUUAAGUCCUAUUGUUCUGUGUCUAGACCCCAGUAGUAGAAAGUACCAAUUCUAAUAGCUCCUCAUGUUGCAACCAGACAUGAGAAGAGGUAGUCAGCUUAUGGAAACCCCAGCAAGAGCUCACAGGUCAAAGUAAAGGAAGAUCAGAAGAAAACCAUGACAGUUUUUCAAAAGUAACCACAACCCACGGGUUCUCAGAUCUAUCCUUUUCAGUCUCCAUUGUCAAUGAGCACCCAGUGCCUUUAGAGUUCAUGUCUAUUGAGGUGUGAGUGCCCAGCGUAUAUCCUAUGGGCAGCGUCAACAUAGUGGACCACACUGAAUGACUCCUUUCCUUUCAUGAGCACCUGUCUCUUUCCAGGCAGAGAUUUCUCCCCAUUCCCACUACAUACACAGAAUAAUGGCCCCCAAAGAUGUCUCUAUCCUAACUCCCAGAAGCUGUGAAUACAUUAGAUUACAUGCCAAGAGGGGAUUAAGAUUGCAAAUGGAAUUAAGAUUGCUAAGCAACUGACCAUAGAAAAGGGAGAUUAUCUUGGAUGAUCCCAGUUGGAUGGUGUAAUCAUGUGAGUCUAUAAAUGUGGAAGAUGGAGGGAAAGUCAGAGUGACAGGAUGUAAGACAGAAUCGUCAUUGCUGGUUUUGAAGAUGGAGGGACCCAUGAGCCAAGGAAUGCAGGUAGCCAUAGCAGCUGGAGAAGUCAAGAAAACAAAUUGAAUCUCCCACCUAAAUCCUCCAGAAAAGAAUGCAGCCCUGCCAACACCUUCAUUUUAGCACAGUGAAACUCAUUUCAUACUCAAGGUAUAAUGCAUAAAAGUGUCAGUGGUAUGAUUCACCUUUGUGAAAAUUUAAGUACAUUCACAGAAUAUCUGGAAGGAAAAAAAUGAUUUCUUGUAGGGAUGGGAAUUGAGUUGCUUAGGGAAAGGAUAGGGAAAGACUAAAUUUUUUUCAGUAAGUAACUUGUCCAUGAUGAAUAUAAUAAAAUUCAAAUGAUACACGAAAGCACCCAGCAAGAAUUAAGAGAUCAAAGCAAGCUGGUUUAGAAAAAUGUAUGUUACAGACUGAGGUCCAACAACCCUAAUAUGAAAAAUCUUACAAAUACUUAAAAGAUAAGGAGUCAAAGGCCUAGCAUGGGUAAUUUUUAACAAGUACCCAGCAUUAAAAAUGUAUUCAGUUCUCAAGUAAGCAGAAAUAUGCUCUUGUAUUUCAAAGUGAAGGAUGGCAAAGAUUUGAGAAUGAUACUUAUUCUGGAUACAAUGGAAGCCAGAUACAGUCUCUCAGAGACAAACACAAGGACAUCCACUCAAAUGUUGUACAUUCACACCACUCACUAUGCUGCUAUUGUGGUGACAAAGUCCCUCAAUCCCAGAGAACUAUUACAGCAAACAAGAGGACUUAGCGACAUUAAGGAGUUGCAUAGGUUUUCCUAAGGAAGAGAAUCAAG